CGCCUCCUGCAGUUUAAAGUAUAGGAGGUCCAGCCUGCCCAGUGACUACGGGUUCAACGGCCGCGGUAUAUUGACCGUGCAAAGGUAGCGCAAUCACUUGUCUUUUAAAUAGAGACCUGUAUGAAUGGCUAGACGAGGGCUUAACUGUCUCCCCCUUCCAGUCAGUGAAAUUGAUCUAUCCGUGCAGAAGCGGGUAUAAUACUACAAGACGAGAAGACCCUUUGGAGCUUAAGGUACAAAAUUCAGCCACGUUAAGCAACUCAGUAGAAAGCAAGAACUUAGUGGCCAUGAAGUUUUACCUUCGGUUGGGGCGACCACGGAGGAGAAGCAAGCCUCCGAGUGGACCGGGCCAAAAUCCCUAAAGCCAAAAGAGACAUCUUUAAGCCGCAGAACAUCUGACCAGUAAUGAUCCGGCUAAAAGGCCGAUCAACGGACCAAGUUACCCUAGGGAUAACAGCGCAAUCCUCUCCCAGAGACCAUAUCUACGAGGGGGUUUACGACCUCGAUGUUGGAUCAGGACAUCCUGGUGGUGCAGCCGCUAUUAAGGGUUCGUUUGUUCAACGAUUAAAGUCCU
rnacentral:rRNA from 1 species